UUCUUAAAGAAAUAAUUUUAAGUAAAUCCUGCUCAAUGAAAAUUAAAUAGCCGCAGAUAAUACUGUGCUAAGGUAGCAUAAUCAUUAGCCUUUUAAUUAAAGGAUGGAAUGAACGGAAUAACAUUUUAAAAACUUUUUUAAAAUAAUAUUAUUAAAUUUUUCUUAAAGUAAAAAAACUUUAAUACAAAAAAAAGACGACAAGACCCUAUCGAACUUCACUUAAGUUAACUGGGGCGGUUAUAUUAUAAAAACUAAAUAUCUUAAAUAAAACAAAAGACCUUAAAUUUUAAAAUUCAUGAACAAGUUACCGUAGGGAUAACAGCAUAAUUAUUUUUAAGAGAUCUUAUCAAAAAAAUAAAUUGUGACCUCGAUGUUGAAUAAUUACCUGUAUUAUGAAAAUAUAAUAUAAGGAAGACUGUUCGUCUUUUAAAUUUUUACA
rnacentral:rRNA from 1 species